rnacentral:rRNA from 1 species
CAGCCGUAAACUAUGCGCGUUAGGUGUAUCGGUGACCACGAGUUACCGAGGUGCCGAAGGGAAACCGUGAAACGUGCCGCCUGGGAAGUACGGUCGCAAGGCUGAAACUUAAAGGAAUUGGCGGGGGAGCGCCACAACAGGUGGAGCCUGCGGUUUAAUUGGACUCAACGCCGGGAAGCUCACCGGAUAGGACAGCAGAAUGAUUGCCGGGCUGAAGACCCUGCAUGACUAGCUGAGAGGAGGUGCAUGGCGUAGACGUCU